rnacentral:rRNA from 1 species
UACAUGGGGUGCAAACGUUGCUCGGAAUUAUUGGGCGUAAAGCGCGCGUAGGCGGUUACUUAAGUCGGAUGUGAAAGCCCUCGGCUUAACUGAGGAAGUGCACCCGAAACUGAGUAGCUAGAGUACGAAAGAGGGUCGCGGAAUUCCCGGUGUAGAGGUGAAAUUCGUAGAUAUCGGGAGGAACACCGGUGGCGAAGGCGGCGACCUGGGUCGAGACUGACGCUGAGGCACGAAAGCGUGGGGAGCAAACAGG